rnacentral:rRNA from 1 species
GACGAACGCUGGCGGCGUGCUUAACACAUGCAAGUCGAACGGUAAGGCCCUUUCGGGGGUACACGAGUGGCGAACGGGUGAGUAACACGUGGGUGAUCUGCCCUGCACUUUGGGAUAAGCCUGGGAAACUGGGUCUAAUACCGGAUAGGACUACGCGAUGCAUGUCGUGUGGUGGAAAGCUUUUGCGGUGUGGAAUGGGCCCGCGGCCUAUCAGCUUGUUGGUGGGGUGAUGGCCUACCAAGGCGACGACGGGUAGCCGGCCUGAGAGGGUGUCCGGCCACACUGGGACUGAGAUACGGCCCAGACUCCUACGGGAGGCAGCAGUGGGGAAUAUUGCACAAUGGGCGCAAGCCUGAUGCAGCGACGCCGCGUGGGGGAUGACGGCCUUCGGGUUGUAAACCCCUUUCAGCACAGACGAAGCGUAAGUGACGGUAUGUGCAGAAGAAGCACCGGCCAACUACGUG